rnacentral:ribozyme from 14 species
AUUGUCUUCAAACAUAGAAACCGCUUUAGCUGAUGAGAAAAAAGAAACUGAAAUUAACAUGAGCAGUGGUAUAACAAUAGCCCAUAUAUUUCAAAUAUGCUCCUCUAUAUUUCUCAACUAUUUCCUUUGUUUUGUUUAUCAUUAUUAUUAUUGUGCGUGAAUU